rnacentral:misc_RNA from 1 species
GAAAUGCGAUACGUAAUGUGAAUUGCAAAUUCAGUGAAUCAUCGAGUCUUUGAACGCACAUUGCGCCCCCUGGUAUUCCGGGGGCAUGCCUGUCCGAGCGUCAUUUCUGCCCUCAAGCACGGCUUGUGUGUUGGGCCCCGUCCUCCGAUCCCGGGGGACGGGCCCGAAAGGCAGCGGCGGCACCGCGUCCGGUCCUCGAGCGUAUGGGGCUUUGUCACCCGCUCUGUAGGCCCGGCCGGCGCUUGCCGAUCAACCCAAAUUUUUAUCCAGGUUGACCUCGGAUCAGGUAGGGAUACCCGCUGAACUUAAGC